GAAGAGAGUGAGGGGAGUAAAGAGGAGGAACACCAUGUUAAAAUUGAGGACAAAACUCAUUUACAGACUGAUGGUAUUUUGAAAAGGAGAGACAAGAAUCGUUUCACCUGUACUCAGUGUGGGAAGAGUUUUGGAGGAAAUGGCAAUCUUAAGAUUCACAUGAUAAUCCACACCGGAAAGAAACCAUUCACAUGCACUCAGUGUGGGAAGAGUUUCAGCCAAUCAUCACACCUUAAUGACCACAUGAUGAUCCACACUGGAGAGAAACCAUUCACAUGCACUCAGUGUGGGAAGAGUUUCAUUCGGUUAUCAUUGCUUAAUCAACACAUGAUGAUUCACACUGGAGAGAAACCAUUCACAUGCAAUCAGUGUGGGAAGAGUUUCAGGCAAUCAUCAUACCUUAAUGAACACAUGAAGAUCCACACCGGAGAGAAACCAUUCACAUGCACUCAGUGUUGGAAGAGUUUCAGCCGCUCAUCAGAACUUAAUCAACACUUGAGGAUCCACACUGAAGAGAAACCAUUCACAUGCACUCAGUGUGGGAAGAGUUUCAGCUGCUCAUCAUCCCUUAAUAAACACAUAAGGAUCCACACUGGAGAGAAACCAUUCACAUGCACUCAGUGUGGAAAGAGUUUCGGCCGCUCGUCAUACCUUAAUCAACACAUGAGGAUCCACACUGGAGAAAAACCAUUCACAUGCACUCAGUGUGGGAAGAUUUUCGGCCGCUCAUCAUACCUUAAUCAACACAUGAGGAUCCACACUGGAGAGAAACUAUUCACAUGCACUCAGUGUGGGAAGAGUUUCGGCCGCUCAUCACACCUUAAUCAACACAUGAGGAUCCACACUGGAGAGAAACCAUUCACAUGCACUCAGUGUGGGAAGAGUUUCAGACAACCAUCACUCCUUUAUCUACACACGAUAAGCCACAACGGAGAGAAACCCACAGCUUCGGUGUGGGAUGAGUUUUAGCAACUCCUCAGACCUUAAUAAACACAUGAUGACCCACACUGUAGAUAAACCAUUCACAUGCACUCUGUUUGGGAAGAGUAUCAACCAAUCAGUAAACCCUAAUGAACACAUUAAGAUCCACACUGGUGUGAAAGAGUAUAUGUGCUUUGAGUGUGAGAAGACUUUUAUUACAGCUCUAAAAUUAAAACUGCACCAGACGUUUCACACUGGACAGUAGUGAUGGAAAGUUCGUAUCAUUUUACUUACUUGGAUCUUUGAGUCUCGUUCAUCAAGAUGACAGAAUCUUUUUUCGGAGUCACGUGACGGUAAUGGCGGAGUAGCAGCUCAACAUUUGGUCUCCGCAGCUCAGUGGUAUAUUUUUAGUAUAUAAAAUAAGACAUAUAACGGCAUAUACUUUAAGACCUUGUGAAUGGACAUACAAUCAUGCCCACUACCCAGAAGAAGUUGAAUCUGUCGGCAAAAACCUCUAAAUCGACGGAGAUUAAAUCGCCUCAGGAGGACAGUCAAUCAACGAUCAUGGCGGACCAGGCAUAGUCGUUGCUGAGCCGAGCUGAGACACACAGCUUGGUAGAAAGAAUAUCAACAGAGGUGCUUAAAGGUGUCAAAAGCUCGUUUGAAAAGAAAAUCGACCCUGUUCUUAUGAAACUUGAGGAAUGUUCCUCAAAAAUUGGGACUUUGGACACGCAAAUUACUGAGGUAGAAUGCCGUGUAUCAGACUCCGAGGAUGCGAUGACCACCUAUGGUGUGAAACUUACUGAUCUCGCGGAAAAACUGGCGUCCGUGCUGUCAAAAAUAGACCAUCUGGAGAACAAAAACAGAAGAUGCAAUGUGCGGGUCGUCGGUCUUCCAGAGGGAUGCGAGGGCAGUAAUCCGAUCUCUUUUUUCAAAUCCUGGUUACCAGAGCUGCUACAGGUCAGUUUCAAAGGUGAGCAUGUUAAACUGGAUCGAUGCCACCGCGCCCUCACUCGCCGCCCACCGCCUGGCCAGCGACCCCGAGCAGUUAUCCUAAAGUUUCACAACUUUCAGUAUAAAUUUCGGAUCAUGCAAGCGGCGAGACAAACGUGCACGCUGUCCUACAACGGUGCUUCAAUUAUGAUAUUUGAGGACUUUUCUGUGUUGGUAAUGAGGAAAAAGCAGGAAUUCUACCAUGUUAAACAGCAGCUUAAAGAGAAGGGUAUUGCCUUUGCCUUGUUAUAUCCAGCAGUUCUCAGGGUCAAGGUGAACGGUCAGGAGAGGUCUUUCAAGGACCCAAAGGAUGUCAUAGCAUUUCUGGCGUCUGCCCCACUACAGAGCGGCUCACCUGACCGCACUGCUACUGACUGAGCAUCCUUUCCCCAUCCCAGUAUGGUUUUAGAGGGUUUAGCUGUUGAGAUCGGACAUUUGGUUUGAGGUCUACAUUUUAUUAUAACAAUUUAUUAUCGAAAAUUAGUAUGGUUUCUUUAAUACUGACAGAUCCAUAUGUGAUUACUUUUUCAUUGCCAUUUAUGUCGCAAUAUUUGACUGAGCUGCAGUCCGGAAGUUUUUCUGUUACCUAAAGGUAGCUUAUCGAAGCCUUAGAAAGGUUUUUUUUUUUAUUUAUUUUUUUGCUUGUUUUUCGUGUGCUGGUCCUGCACCUUCUCUAUAACUAGAGGGAAGCUAGCUGACGCCCAAAAUGGGCGUAACAGACCAAAGUCUGACUCCUUUUCGUUUCGUUAAUAUCUCUUUUUUUUGUUCCAAUUUUUUUGAUGUACAUAGUUUUUACUUGAUUCUUCUAAAAUUGUGCAAAGAACGAUUUUACCCCUGCAUUUUUUUCUUGUUUUUUUUUCUUCUUUUUUACCUGCGUUUUCUCUCAUUUUGUGGCUCCUUUUGUAUUUUAUUUUUUGACACAUAAUGUCUAGUAACUCAACGUUAAAAAUUUGUAGUUGGAAUGUGAGAGGGAUACACAAUCCUAUUAAGAGAAAGAAAAUUCUUAGCUUUCUAAAGAAAGAACAGGUCCAUAUAGCCCUAUUACAAGAAACCUAUUUAUCGUCUGCUGAGCACGCUAAGUUAAAUAGUGACUGGGUCAGACAGGUGCUUAGCUCUUCUUUUACUACCAAAAGCAGAGGUGUUGCCAUCCUAAUUAAUAAAUGUUUACCCUUACUUGAAGUUAAAACGGUCUCAAACAAAUCGGGAAGAUAUAUUAUAUUAAGAGGCUCUCUUUAUGGGCAAGACAAUUCAGUUUUAAAUAUAUAUUUUCCACCUAUUCAGACCACAGAUUUUAUUUCUAAGGUUUUUCAAAAUUUGCGGAUUGGCUUUGUGACAACACAGUUAUAGCAGGUGAUUUUAAUUGUUUUUUUCUCCUUAGUAGUAGAUCAAUGUCCUUCAACACAAAAUGAUGGUCAGAUGUCGAAUAGAGCCAAAGCUGUUUUGGAUACCUGCAAAGAACUUGAUCUGGUUGAUACUUGGAGGGUGUUACACCCUAAUGAUAAGGAGUUUACAUAUUAUUCAGCUGUUCAUAAAACCAGUAGUAGAAUUGACUUGAUCUUCACCCCCAAAAUUUCUUUUAGUAAAGUUGAGUAUUGUAAUAUUGGGGAUAUUUUGAUAUCCGAUCAUGCACCUGUCUGUAUAGGCAUAAAUUUCAGUAACUUGACACUCCCUAAACAAUGAAGGUAUAAUUCCUACCUAAAUUUUGACCCUAAUUUUGAAGGUUUUUUAACAGAACAGAUGAAUCACUUUUUUGUAGAAAACAAAACUCUGGGUGUUUCCCCAGGGUUACUUUGGGAUACAGCAAAAGCAUAUGCUCGAGGUUUAAUUAUAUCAUAUUCAGCUGGGCUUAGGAAAAAAGUAGAAGAGAACAGAAAAACUUAGAGCUCAAACUACAUGAUCUACAGGCCAGAUAUAAUUUGUCUCCCUCAGAUGAACUAAGAUGUGACAUACAAAUAACAAAAACGGCAUUGGAAGCGAUACUUACUUAAAGGUGGAGAAAUCAAUGUUCUUUGUAAAGCAAAGAAUGUACGAAUUUGCUAAUAAACCUAAUCGCUAUUUGGCUAAUCUUUUGCGGGUUAGGACAUCUACUCAAAAUAUACCUUGUAUUAAAGAGUUGAAUGGUUCUUUGAAUUAUAAUAAUAAGGAAAUUAAUAAUAGUUUUAGAAUCUUUUUUGAGCAAUUGUACACAUCUCAAUUUAAUUAUAGUGCGGAAAUUAAUAUGGAAGCUUUUUUUACAAACCUAUCUCUUCCUCAAAUUUCAGAUGACCAGAGAAAGAUAUUAGACGCUCCAUUAACUCUCAGUGAAUUUAAGAAUAGUAUUCAAUCUCUCCCUAAUAACAAGGCACCAGGUCCUGAUGGUCUCAGUGCAGAGUUUUAUAAAAAGUUUGUCAGUAUUUUAUCUGGCCCGUUACAUGAAAUGAUUCUUCACUCAUUUGAAAAAGGGGUCCUUCCCCCUUCAAUGAUGGAAGCUAAUAUUUCCUUGGUACAAAAAAAGUAAACCAGCUGAUGAAUGCUCCUCUUAUAGGCCCAUAUCUGUUUUAAAUAUAGAUUCUAAGCUUUUUGUCAAAGUACUGGCUUCUCGAUUGGAGUCAAUACUACCCUCUAUUAUUAAUAACGAUCAGACGUUUAUACGGGGUAGAUUCUCAUCACAUAAUAUAAGAAGGUUUUUUAACAUUAUUAAACAUUGUUCUUUGUGUAGCCCAGACUCACUGGUUAUAUCACUUGAUGCAGAAAAGGCUUUCGAUCGGUUGGAAUGGCCAUACCUUUUUUUGUACUUAAAAAAUUUGGGUUAGGGGCUGACUAUAUUAAUUGGAUCUUUAUAUUAUACAAUUUUCCUCUUUCUGCUGUAAUUACUAAUAGUCUUCGAUCUAGUAACUUUAAUAUUGAAAGAGGUACAAGACAAGGAUGUCCGUUGAGCCCUUUACUUUUUGCCCUAGCAAUGGAACCCUUAGCGGUAAAAAAUAAGACAGGAUACAAACAUCCAAGGUAUUUCUUUAAAGCAUCAACAGCAUAAAUUUUCGUUAUAUGCUGAUGAUGUUUUGAUUUACUUAGAGUCCCCUAAGAAAUCUAUACCUAAUUUGAUAACACUAAUUAAUGAUUAUGGAUCUUUCUCUGGUUACAAAAUACAUUUUUCUAAGAGAGAAGCCAUGCCUCUUAAUAAUUCGCAUAGAUUAAAUCCUAGUAUAUCGCAUCCAUUUCGGUGGUCCCCCGGGGGCUUUUAUUACUUGGCCAUAAAAGUUUCCUCUCAGAUAUCAGACUUAUAAAGUCUAAACUUCAUUCCCCUUUUACAAUCGGUAAUACAAAAUUUGGAUAGGUGGUGUGCCCUACCAUUAUCCUUACUGGGUCGUAUUCAUCUCAUUAAAAUGAAUGUUCUUCCACGCUUUCUCUACUUAUUUCAAAUGCUUCCUAUUAAAAUUACUAAAAAAGUUAUAGCCCAGUUGAAUAGUGCUAUAAUUUCAUUUAUUUGGGCUAAAAAAAGACCAAGACUACGAUAUAGUGUCCUUAUUCUCCCCAUUAAAUCAGGUGGUUUAGCUGCCCCAUCCUUUUUAUAUUAUUAUCUGGCUGCUCAGUCUAGGUUUCUUUUAGAAUGGCUUAUAGAUGACCCAGAAUCUACUUGGAUUGGACCUGAAGCUACAUCCCUGGACAGGAUUCCCCUACGUAAUUUGCUUUAUAUCUCAACUGCUAAAGCUUCUGCUCUGAUCAAAGGUAAUAGUAUUUUAAAGAAUAUGUUAUACAUAUGGCGACAAAUUAGAAAACGUUAAGGUUAUGAGAAUUGUUUCUCACUAUUAACCCCUCUCCAUGGAAAUCCAGAUUUCCCACCAGGCCUUAGAGCUGGGCUGGAAGAUUGGAGUGAUAAGGGCAUUAAAAUGGUGGGUGAUAUUAUUCAGGAUGGUACGAUUCUCACAUUCCAACAGAUUAAGGAUAAGUUUAGUAUUCCUAAUGUGGACUUUUUUAAGUAUCUACAGCUUCGAAACUUUAUUUUGACAAAAUGUAGAGAUUACCCAGGAGGAUUUGGUAUUUCCCCAGUUGAAUCACUUCUUGCCAUUGAGAAGCAGGUCAAAUGCAUUACACGGCGUGUCUAUGUAACCGGUUCUGCGUUGUGUUUUCUUAUUUUUAUGAAGGAAUUACCAGUCGGAGAUCUGCAGUUGUUGACGGCUCUUUACUCAAUGAGAAUAAACCAAAAGCACAGCUUUUACAGUGUGUCUUCGCCCUUACAGCUUUUCUCGCCCAUGCGCAGUCAGUGCAGAAAGGGGAGAGAUGGAGAGAGAGAUAGAACAAAACUCCAAACAAUAUUAACAAAGUGA